UACAGAGGGUGCAAGCGUUAAUCGGAAUUACUGGGCGUAAAGCGUGCGUAGACGGUUAUGUAAGUCGGGUGUGAAAGCCCCGGGCUCAACCUGGGAAUUGCAUUCGAGACUGCAUAGCUAGGGUGCGGAAGAGGGAAGCGGAAUUUCCGGUGUAGCGGUGAAAUGCGUAGAUAUCGGAAGGAACACCAGUGGCGAAAGCGGCUUCCUGGUCCAGCACCUACGUUCAGGCACGAAAGCGUGGGGAGCAAACAGG
rnacentral:rRNA from 1 species